rnacentral:tRNA from 1 species
UAUUUAUAUAAUAUAAAAAUUAUUUUUGACUUCCAAUCAAAAUAUCUAGAUUAUCCUAGUAUAAAU